rnacentral:rRNA from 1 species
GACGGAGGAUGCAAGCGUUAUCCGGAAUGAUUGGGCGUAAAGCGUCUGCAGGUGGCAGUUCAAGUCUGCUGUCAAAGACCGGGGCUUAACUUCGGAAAGGCAGUGGAAACUGAACAGCUAGAGUAUGGUAGGGGCAGAGGGAAUUCCUGGUGUAGCGGUGAAAUGCGUAGAGAUCAGGAAGAACAUCGGUGGCGAAGGCGCUCUGCUGGACCAUAACUGACGCUGAGACACGAAAGCGUGGGUAGCAAACAGG